AAAAGUGAGCUCUUCAUAGAAGAUAACUGAAGGAGUAGUUUAAUACACCAUACAAACCAGGGUUUGCUCUCGCAGCUCUAAGCUCUCUCUGUGCUAGACCAUUCCACUCUUCUAGCUGCAAACCUACCUACAACUCGUAGGUACCAACACGACCUAUUACUUGUGCAGUUUUUCUAAGCACCGCUCUCCUGCACUCGCCUCUCUGUACCUCAGCUCCCCGCCCUCAGAGCUCGCACUGCCCCCCGACAAUACACGAAACUGGAGCAUUAACUCUUUAACUCCCAGUGCACUACAUGAUGUGGAAUACCGAUAACAAAAAUCAUAAAAUCAUGACAGAUGUUUAUAUCCUAAUCCUUACCACCCUUGACCUUUCAUAUUUAGGGAUACAUCUCCAACACUGAAUCUCCAACAAGCAAGGAUACAUAUAGUGACUACACACACUAUCCCCAUGAAUAACUUCUUUAACCAAUCCAAUUUGGGAAGCUAGGAAGUCAUUUUGGCUUCAGCUUCCAUCAUCCUGGCUUACUUAAUGCAGUAUUUUAGUUUGAUGCAUAUAUGUCUGUUUCUAUUCUACCACUCUGAUCUACAUAAACACAACAACUUGCAUUUAUUACUGCACAAACUCCUCCUUGUGCGGUUAACAACAUAUAUAAAGCCAUUCUAUUUUGCAAUACCACCCUCGAUAAGCUUUGGACUUCUUUGAGGGCAAUAAUAGCAUCUAAAGAUUCAUUUUUGAGGUGUUCCAUAACUGCUGAGAUAUUUACUAUAUCCUUUUCCAAUUCUGCAAUUCCUAAAGAGGGAGUUUGUGGGGGGAGAUGUAACAACAAGGAGCUCAACAGACUCUGGUAGAUUUUAUCACUAUGAGGCCUUGGGAGUCUGGAGACAGGGCUAAAGUGUAAACAGAAUGCUGCUUUAGUAUGCACAGCUAAUGUCACAUCUGGGACAGUUAAGGAACCCUUUGUUUGUUAUCUAUGCUGUUGGGAAGAACUUAAGGCCAAUUAACCGUGAGUGGAUUUACUGCUUACAAGUGGAGGAUAUAUAAGAUGUAUGUUAAACUCGAUAGAGAGGACUUACUAUUCUGAUGCUACACUGACUGAGAGAAUUCACUAACGGGACUAAGUGCCAACAGGAGUUAACCAUCUAAUGAAUGAGUGGAAACUACUAGGCCUUUCUCCUAAUGGAUUGGGCACUUGCUUCUUAACCUUUGAGAGUAUUUGGGCCUGUGUUAUCCCGGUUAAAUGACCUGUUACUAUCACCUUUGGUGUUACUAUUUCUAGGUUACAGGUUCCGGUUCACCAUGGGCAUAAUACCUUCCAAACUCAAUCUCCACAUAACCAGUACCAUCCUUUUCCUUUAGCUUACACCCAAUACUUACUCCUGUUCUUACUCAUUUGUCAUUUGUACUAUCCACUUGCAGUGCGGGUAUUUUCCUACUGGAGCACUCCUUACUUGAUUAGUCCCUUGGUCCAUCAGACAAUCGGUAUCAUUCAUAGGCUGGAUCCCUACAAAUCAUGUUUGUGAUUCUAUAUAUUUAUCUGCAAAGUACCGUCUGGAUUUGUUAACAAAUACUGUAUCCCAUCUUUGUUUUGGUAGUGGUAUUCCCCAUAAUGGGUAUGGACUUGCCUCAUACUUUGGCAGUUCCAACCAUAUCCAACAGGAACUAGAACUGCUAGCAAGAGCCACCAUUUUCAUCAACUUCAUGUGCUAAUUUUUGAUCCCAUGCAUCCAACUGAUAAGAGAACUUGUUCUUUCCAGAUAGCACCAUGUGCAUGCACAACCCCAAAUGCAAAUUUGAAGUCUGUCUAAAUACUGACACUUUUCUCUUUUGCUAAGUCCAGUGCUCUUAACAAGGCUAUGAGUUCCGCUUUCUCUUCUGAGGUGGUAGUGCCUGAGUUCCAGCCCCUGUUACUUCAUCUUUGGUUGUUACAGCAUACCUGGCCUUCUUAGGCUGUCUUGCACAAAACUGCUGCCAUCCACAAACAUUUCCAUAUCUUCAAUUUCAUGUCCUCUUGCUCCACCAGGACCGCUUGGUACUUCAUGAUCCUGCUCAGAGAUAAACAAUAACUUCCCUUUUGAUUGAUUCAGUACUGCAGUAACCAUAUGGGGAAUAUACAAAGUUAUUUCCCAAAGUCAAUUUUCUGGCCUCCUGUAUAAGCAAGAUUGUUUUAUUAUUGUUUUAAAUUUAAAAGCUGCUACAGCUUUUAAACAGGGGCUUUCCAACUUGAGGUCUCUGAAGGACUCCCACAUCCUAAAGUCCACACCGGGUUUUCCAUUUCUCCUUUAAAGACUUCACACAGUGGUUUAGCAAACUAAAAUUCUCUAUCCAAGGCUCCAGUCUCUAUAGUUCUGAAGAAUAUUUUGUCUUACCAGUGCUACUCCCAGCUUCAGCUGGAUAGUUACCAUUGCUGGUUCAGCUUGUCUUGAUUGUCCAGGUGUCUCUGAUGCUUUGAUCCACAGUAUUAGGGCAUUUACCAAGUCUUUUGGUACUGUCUGGUCAGCAGGGAAUGAUCUCUGUAACAUAAGAGCAUGAGCCUCCACAGCUUUAUUUUCUGGAAUAUGCCUUUGGCCUCGUCCUUUACCAAAUGUGAUUUGGGCCUGCAGUUUCUUUAAGAUAUCUCUCCCCAUUAAUGGCACUGGGCAAUCAUGCAUAUAUAGAAAUUGAUAUGUAUACAUUUUUCCAAUGUUAAUGGUUGGAAGAACGGCUGCACUUCAGCUUUCCUGGUGGCUCCAAUUACUGAUGUUGUUUGAUCACUUAACUGUCCCUUACAUGUAUUUAUAACUGAAUACAUUGCACCUGUAUCUACAAGAAAUUUUACAUCUUCAUUCCCCAGCCUUAUUGUAACCAGGGGUUUGGCUGGGGUCUCACCCCCAGUCCCCUUCAUUCCGUAUUUAUUGCCAUUAUAUCCAUGGCCUUUGAGUGAUCCUGCUCUGAUCUUCUGGAUCUUUGCUGCUGUGUUUUUUUUCUGAGGGUAAUCCUGUCACCAAUGCCCAAACCUCAAACAUUGUCUACACUGAUCAGAUUUCAGUACUGAGAUCUCUAUAAAUUCUCUCUUCUUGGUUCCAGCAUUUCUGUUAUACCUCUGUUUCCUUGUUUUUUUUCUCAUCAUCCUCCUUUCAGUUCCCUGUGCUAUGGUCAAUGUCAAUCUCCUGUCACUAUCCUUCUUCUUUCUUUUCUUUGCUUUCUCCAUUUCCUCUCUGUUCCCUCCUGUGCCUUCCUUGGCCUAUGCCUUUCCCAAGCCUCUUUUUUUUUUUUUUUUUCCAAACUUUAAUCAUUACAAACUUGCUCAGCUCUCUUUGAUCUUCCAGGCAUCUUUCCUGUCUACAAAAGACCCCAUUUAAAAUUGUAUUUUUCCCUCUAAUUCCUCCAACCAAUCUUGACCAAUUAAGGGCUUUGGUGCCCCUGGUAAAUACAAAAACCAACAGUGUCUACCAAAUUUCAGUUUGGAAUCUGGAGGCUUCCAAUGCUAACACUGGAAUAUCCGGUUUCCUAGAUCUCCACAGAUAAUGACAUUCUUGAUUCCAAUGUAUUCCUCCCCACCCUCCCAAGUAACACAUUGUUUUACAACAGGAGUUUGCAAGUGUCUCUCCCCCUGCUCUUUCUCUCUCUGAGUGCUCUGUGAACUGUGUGGGGGGUGGCGUGGGGGUUUCUCCUCACAGUACUCAUCUAUCUUGGCCAGUGCAAACUGCAACUGAUCACAACAAUCUAAAUACUCUUUAAUUUAAAUACACUUUAUGCUGGACAUUCUAUUGUGACUCCAGUACUUCUCGUGAGGCAAAAUCAUUGAUGCAAAAGAUAAAAGUAUUCUAUUAUGUUAGGAAAGCAAGACUAUUCACCCACUAAAGCUGAAAUGGAAAGUUUUAGAACAAUCACUCGUGGAUUCCUUUUGCUAAACUAAUAUAUUGGUUCUUAACUAAUGUAAUGUACUAAUCCCUAACGCUAAACAAACCAACCUGUAUCACUCCCCCUCCUCCCCUUUGUUGCCCUCCCGCAGACCACUGCCGCCCCCCUUUCCCCCACACUGGUGCUGGGUGAGGCCUCAGAGAGCGACUCAGAGCCAGAGCCAGGGGGGAGCACGGCUGGGACCCCCACAGUGGGGCUGGAGGUUCCAGGGGAGGUGUUGGAGACCGAGGAGGAGGAAGACGGUGCAGCCUGAAUGCUACCGCCAGGGGUGUCCCGGGCGCCUCUCACUGCUGCAAGCAGCAGCUGGGGGCAGGUGAGGGGUGGCUGCGGAGGGCAGUGGGUGAGGCACUGGGGUGCAGUUUCAGUGGGGCCGUGCAGCUGCUGGAAGGCCUGGGAGGGCCCUGGGUUCUCCUGUGGCAUUGUGGUCCCAGUGGUCUGAACAGGGUCCCUUUCGUUGCCCCUCAUGUCCCCAAGCUGGGCUGCAUCCCCUGUGUCCUUUCCUGCCAUACGAAUGUCUCCAGCAUUUGGCCACUGUCCCCAAGCUGUGAUUACAUCCUGUCACCCUGAGUGCCCCCUGGCCAUGUCCUCAGCCCGCUGCUACCCCUGUAUGCCCCUCUGACCACUUCAGCAGGGGACAGGGAGAAGGACAUGCGAGACUCGCACCACAGAGACACAUGGUUCUGUUACUGCAUCCUGCCAGGGCUGCCACCCCCUAUGGGACACUAGGGAUACAUCCUGGGCACUGGCAGGCUUGCAGCACCAAAAUGCCUGGGGCCUGGUGAGGGUCCUGGGGGCUCCUGGUGUCUCCAGAAGGGUCCCCAGUGUCCCCAGGGACUCACCCCAGGGGUGGUGGAAAACCUGGAUGAAGGUUCACUUUUCCCACUCCCCUGCUUUUUGGCAAAGGGAGGAGGUUUUGUGAAGGGCAUAGCGGUGUUGGAUGCCUUUUAUAAAGAUUCUAGACCUCUGUUCCCGUAUCCAAAUUAGAAUAAAAAAUCCAUCUUUUGAGGCAGAACCUCUGAGCGCUUGUAACUGGCAGUGCUUUGAUAUUCUAGAUAAUGUGUUCCAUGAGGAGUGCUGGGUGAUACUGUCUGAUACCAUCGAUUGUGAGCGUGCUCCAUACAGUUUCCCUCUGUGGGAAUUGUAAUAAAGUUAUAAUUGUUUGUUCAUUGAAAGGGAAGUUCUGCUGGUCUGGCGGUUGGGGUUACAUAAUUGUUUGUUCAUUAAAAGGGAAGUUCUGCUGGUCUGGCGGUUGGGGUUGCAGGCUGUGGGUCAGUGUCCUAAUCUGAUAACAACUCUUGCGAAAGCGCAAACCCCCUGCUUCGUUGCUUCGCCUCCCAACCUCGGAUCAAGCGAAUCCCAGGACGAGGAAGAUUGUGACGACACCUAGCAACAGGGAGGCGCAGCCGCAGAAGGUUAUGUGGGAAGAGGCUGCAUAUGCAGGCAUGUUUUUCACCCUCCGUAACCAUCCCAAGUGGCAACGGGACUGUGGGAUGGGACCGCGCCCAAGAUCCGAUGGUUUUAGCGCUCCCUAGCCUAUUGAUUACCACCCGUACUGGAACAGGAGUCCCUGAAGAGGUCCACAAUCAGGUUUACCCAGGAGUAUGGGCAACAGAAGGCCCGGGACAGGCAAAGAAUGCCCUCCCAAUCAUGAUUAAGGUAAAACAGGAAACCCAGCCAGUGAGGAUCAAGAAGUAUCCCUUCAGAUUUGAGGACAGGAAAGGGAUUCAACCAAUAACCAAUUCAACCAAUAACCGAUUGUUUUAUGGAAUUUGGACUAUUAGUAGAGUGUCAGUUGAAAUAUAAUCGUCCCAGUUAAAAAGCCGAAUGGAAGCCACCGGAUAGUACAGCAUCUGAGAGCUAUUAAUAAAACAGAAGAGGACUUAUACCCACUGUCAGCAAAUGCGUAUACCCUGCUUACUAAAUUGCCAAGCGAAUUGGCAUGGUUUACCAUACUAGAGUUAAAGGAUGCCUUCUUUUGCCUGCCCUCAAAGUCAGCUAUUAUUUGCAUUUGAGUGGGAAAAUUGCAAUUCCGGAAGGAAAACACAGCGUACUUGGACAGUCCUUCCCCAAGGGGUUAAAAGCAGUCCCGCUCUUAUUGGAAAUCAACUCACCAAGGACCUGAAACAAUGGGAACAACCACCUCGGCAGGGGACUCUACUACAAUACGUAGACGACCUCUGAGCCACUGAGACGAAGAAGUUAUGUGUAGUAUUGACUGUUCGUCUACUGAAUUUCCUUGGACUUAAUGGCUAUUGAGUCUUUCCACAGAAAGCUCAGAUGACCCAGCAGCAAGUGACCCGUUUAGGAUACGAGAUCACCGCGUACGCAGACCGUAGAUACGCUACUUCCGCAUGUGUGCGCGCAUACGUUCUACUUCCUUCCGGACAAAGCAGCGUAGACAGCGGUAGUUCCGCAGAUUGGCCACGCGGUGGCAGCAGAGACCGCGGAAAGAACUUCUCCUGAGGUGUUGGCCGCGCGUGGCAGGACGGACCCUGGCGAUCCGUUCUCUUUCUGUUGAUGACAGGGGAAGAACAGAAAGUUAGAAGAAGGGGGGGGUGGGGUGGGACACGAAGAAAACGUCUCCAGAAACAGGAAACUUGUGCUAAGUCCUUAUGAAUAUCUGUAAAAAUUGAUCAAAUUGAUGUUGUAGUGAUUUUUUUUUUUUUUUUUGCCAAUGACUGUUACAUUGUUUUCAAAUAUUCAAGCACCAAAAUCUAACUACCGAGAAAAUUUAAUGGUAAUGAGACGAAGGCUGCUGUGCCAGGGGAAGCGCCGUAAUCUGUCACGUAGCAGCGCCCUGGCCAUCAUCCAUCAUCCCCUGCUGAGUGGAGUGUGUGAUCAGGGGCAAUGUGUAAUUGUAAAACCCAAACACUAAAAGUAAGAAAAUGAAUCCCAAAAUCCCUAACAAAAAUCCUAAAAACACUAACCCUGACACUAACCCUAGCCAUAAAAUCCUUAACAAAAACCCUGACUCUCUAACCCUAAGAACUUUGAACCCAUCACUACUCCUAUCCCAAAAACGUAACCCAAACCCAAAAACUAAAAACAGUAAUCCCAACUCUCACCCUAACCUUAAUUAUAAAAAUUGUUAAACCCAACCCUAAUCAAAAUACUCUUGACACCCAAACCAUAGACCUAACUCUAAAAAAAACCCUAACAUUAGUACUAACCCUAUUAUGGUCACUGUUGAAUAAAAAUUAGGAAAGAAAAAACUAAAUGUAGCAGUGAAGAAUGGGAAAAAAAAAAAAA